rnacentral:lncRNA from 1 species
AUUCACACAAUACACACACAUUCAAACGCAAAACCCAUCUGAUUUUCCUCCCAUUCUCCCUCUAUCUCAUGUUACUCCACCUUUCUUCUUCUCCGAUGAGCAAAACCAGUCGACUCCAGCGAAACCACAACCAUCGGAGUACGGCCUCUGAUCUCCAACCUCACACCAUUACCUCCUUCCCCUUUCAUCUCCCCCUCCCCAUUUCCCACUCUUUUCCACCACGGCAUCCCCGAAAUUGAUGGUCGGAGGGCUCCCAACGGCACUAUCGCAACUGUGCUGCCCCUUUUCCUCUCCCAUUUGCACUGGUUAGUAUAAAAAAUGGUCAGAUUCAUCUAUUUUCAUGCUUCUCCAGUGUUGCUCUGGCAUUUUUCCUGGGAGCAAUGCCUUCCCCUUCCUUAUUUGUCACAAAUAUGACCGAAGAGUUCAUUCUCUUGCGAGGUUUCCUAUUUUUGUUCAAAAUCCAUCAUUUUUGCUACACUUCGGAUUAUGUUGGAUAUAUUUUAUAUAUUUAUUUGUUAUAUUGUUUUGUUGCUAGUCAUGUUGUCUUGCUGCUCAUAUCUUUAUUGUUGUUGAAAAUUGUUUAAAUUUUAUGUCCCAGUGGCUUCUUGGUGAACUGUUUUGCUACUUUGUGUCAUUGCUAUUGUUAUUCUUGGAUUGAUUUUACCUUAUGUUGCUAAAUUCAUGUCGUCUUAGAGCCCCUAAUAAUUAACUCAAGUGACGAUCUCGUUCCUUCGUUGUUUGGUUAUUUUUAAUCUAUUGUUGCCUUGUGAUAUUUUAUUUAUUUGUUUAAACGGAUGAAUGAUGAGGUACUUGGCCAAUGAAAAUAUUACCGUCGUAUUUUGAGGCCUCCACAAAUAAAAAAUGGAUUAAACAUAUACAAAUACCUAAUAAAAAAUAAAUAUUUUGGGUGAUGACGAAAUUGUUAUAAUAUUUUAAAACUUUAUCCAAGCCUACUUUUUAAUGAAAAUUAUAUUUUUAAUAUAUUCUUUUUUACAUAUAUGAACACAUACCUUCUCAAUUCAUUUGAUAAUUAUUUAUUCUUUAGUAACAUUUUUAUUAUAAGUGUUUAUACAGGUUAUCGAGAAUACUUAUCGAAAACGAUAUUCAAAGAAGAAUUUUAAAUUUUGUGUUUGUAAUUUUUAUUCUUACACUUGUGUAAGUAUCAUCAUAGCAGAAAUUUUAUUUUGGAGCAUUGGGUGUUGAUAUUCUUUAUUUAUGUAAUCUUCACCGCACGUUUAGGCAAAUUUAGGUCGUUACUAUUUAUAUAAAAAAAGAAUUAAAUUGAUUUAGAUAUUUAAUUGAAUAAAUUACACUUUUUACACUAAAAUAUUACGUAUUUUUAUCAUUAGAACAGAUUUUUGUUUUUCAAUCUUUCUAUUUUUAAUACAUAUUCUCAUGCACUUUAAUUUAUCUGCAUACACUUUUUAUACGCAUAUAAGAUGAAAUAUGUAAUUUACAUAUUUUUUACAUAUAAAUUAUUUAUAUCAUCUUAAUACACAUUUUAUAUUUGUAUUUACAAACACUGGUUUUUUUCCUUGUUUAAUAAACCUAAGUCUGUCCGAGAACCACAUUUGUGGAUUCUGAAGGGUGCCUAACUCCUUCUAUUUGGAAUCAUUUGAACCUUACCGAGAAUUUAAAUUGGUUCAUAGAUUAAAAACACAAUUCAUACAUGUUAAUAAAUAAAUAGGUUUCCUUAAAAAUUAGAUGGCGACUCUGUAUAAAAUUAAUUUUUUGUGAGUCCAUAAUAUCGUGCUUGUUUUAAUCUAUGUAAAAAUAGAGUAUGACAGUUUGACGACUCUGUUGGGGAGAAGAAAGGUUCUAACCAUUACAGACUUAGGUAACAAUUUAUGUUUUCAUACAUUGUUUUUUAUUUUUCCUGAUUGAUUUAAUUUAUCUUAUUUGUAUGACAAAAAUUAUUUAUUUAUUAUUAUUUUAAAUAGAUUAUUUAUUUUGUAUCUCUUUAUUAAAUUGAUAUUUCAUUCAUACUUUCUCCAUUACGGAAAAUUGACACUCACACACAUUAGACACACGGAUUGUACAUUGUUCUUUCCCAAAAUUCUUUCAAAUCACCUUACUUUAGCGAGUUGGCACAUACGUGGGGUGAGUGAAAGUUUUACUGCCGUGGGACUACGUGCCUUCUCAUAUAGGAAAUUCAAGUAUGUGUCUACGCACUCUUAGUCAACAUAGGAUAGAACUAAAACAAUACCUUUUAGGUGCAUGCAUAUUUGUCAAUUUUAUCCUGCUGUUCGAAGAGUUCUUGACCUAACUGAUGCAAUAUCAUAGUCUUUGUACAUAUAUGAAUGAUAAUUGUGCUUAUAUGUUUGCUGCUUCCCUUAAAUUGGUUAUACUUUAGUAAUAGGGGCGGCUCGAGCAUAUUCAUGACCUAAGGUAAAAAUCAAAUACAAGCCUUAAAAUUUUAAGAAAAAAUAACUUUCUUUAAAUGAACGCUAUUUUUAAAAUUAUAUAAUUGAUUUUUUCUAAUUUUUGCUUUUUAAGCAAUAAUAUAAUAAAUCCAUUUAAUCUUUCUUGCGACAUAGUACACUAGAUAUAUGAACUUUUUCUAAUAAUUCUUUCCUUUUAUAUAAAAAGAUUAUUUUUUCUAUAAAUAAUAUUCCAUUUUGUUUAAAAAAUUUAUUUAUAUUAUUAUAAAAAAGGAGGUCCCUCAAAUUUGGGGGCGUAAGGUGGUCGCCUAUUUUUUGACAAGGUAGAGUCGCCCCUGUUUAGUAGGGAAGGUGUACUUUAACCUUUGUUUUGCAGCGCAGAUUAGUUAAAAGAUGCACCUUUACAGCAUCGCCAUUAAUUGGCAUAGGUUUGAACUACGUUUUGACCUGAUUCUUUUCCUGACAAGAUACGUAGUAAACCCUAUUUAGGGUCCGGUCUCUUCACUAUUUUAGAAUAAUUUCUCUUGUGUAAAAAACUGAGGCAAUUUUCUAGAAUAGUUCAAAGACGCUCUCUAAAAGCCUUCAAGAGUGUAAAUUAAUAGCUCCGCAAAUCCAAAUCUCAUUUACAUUAGUGCAUAGCCGGCCUAUCUCGAGAUCUUUACCCAAUUUUAAUUCAAGAACACCUAGAUUCUUCUUUCGAACAUCAUAAACCAUUAAAGUUAUGGCGUAUCGAUCCCCACUUUCAAAAUCAAGGGUUCAACACUCGUUCAAUAAUAAUAACCUUGCCAGCUGCAGCAAAAUAAUGAUAUAACUUCUUCAAUAUUUGACCUUCUCAAUUUUGUCAACACAUUGAAGUAGUUAAAGCUCUCCUCAUACUUGAAAUCCUCUCGAUCGUCUGAUUAGAAAAAUUUUGAUGCUAAAAGAACAUGCUUCCUAGUCAUCUUCACAUUAUUUACAAGGAUGACCAUAAUUUUUUAUCAUACAUGGCAUAUACAAAUUUAUAAAUUUACCUAAAUGCAGACCUGACUCUUGUUUUCGUAAGAUAUGUAGGCAACCCUUAUUUGGGUUAAUUCCUGUUCAUUUUCUAAAUAAUAAUAAUAAUAAAAUUUUGACUUGUUUAGUACCAAUACAGUUAGGGGUAUGCAUGAGAAAGAACAACUUGGCAUGAUAGAAAGGACCGACUUCAUGGUAAACCAUAGAUUCUUUUAGUAUCUUUUAUCAUACUUGAGUAACACUUGAAAAUUCUCUUGCAUAUACAAGAACAAAGUUAACCUUAUUGUUUCAUGUGCAUUGUGUCGUGAACUUUAGUUUAAUUCAUUGCAUUGCAUUUUUGAUCUAGAACUUGGCCUAAAUGUUUGUUAAGGCAAAAUUCUAAGUCAUGCUUCAUUUAGGAAAGGAUCAUAGGCCUUCUUUGACCUGAUUUUUCCUUUCAUAGCCCAACAAAUGACAUUAAUCCCUAGAAUUCCCCCUUUUGAUCCUACAACCUUUCUUUGGACAAUCACAUGCAAGCCUAUACCUUUUUGAGUGUUCAUAUGCACUAUCCUUCUCUUGUCCUCACCUCCUUGAGCGUACUAAAUACGUAUAAAUUGCAGACGAAGAUUCAAGAUCAAGGAUGCAAGGUGAAAUAUAUACUAUUCUAGAAGAAAAAAAAAUGAAAAGACGACUUUAAAAGGAGCAAAACAACCCUCCAAGAAAAAGAAAAAGAAGGAAAAAAAAAGAAAAGGAGAAAAAAAAAAGAAUACCAAAAUAAAAAUCAAAAAAAAAUUAUAUAUAUAUAUUUAUUUAAAAUAAGGGGAGGGGGGGUGGAAUCCAAUACAAGAUUCAAAAAAAGUCUAAGCAAAUACAAAACACGGGGCAAUGAAUCACAACUAAAUAGAUCACGCGUCAAAGCGCAACAAACAUUGAAAGCACAAAUGCAAUAUAAUGCUCAUUGAAGAAUUAGUCACUUUUAUCCUAAAUAUUAUUCUACCCGUCCCCAAGCCAACAUUACAAGUCAAGUCAAUACAAAGUCCUACAAUAUCCUCUCCCAAGUGUUCUCCCAUUAGUGGAUACUUACUUGAAGGUCAAGCCUAUAGUAUCACAAUUGCAUGCAUUGAAUAUCUUUCUGAGUGUGAGUGUAUUUCUCUAGGUGUAUCCAAAUCCAAAAAUAAAAUUAUUCAACUAUGUGUGAAAUGAGACUUUUAUUCUAGGAAAGGGUGCUUGAAACAUGAGGAUAAGUGUAGUUUGAAACCUUUGUCUGAAGCAAGACGAACAAAUCUUGUUGAUACUUAGGUAUGUCUGAGAUACCACUUGAAACAAUAGGAGUUACCCUGAAGUCGAUCGCGGUUAGAUGGAAAGGAGAUGAAGGAAUUCUUAUGCUCACUAUAAAUUAUUGGUACCAGCUGAAGUAAAAGCACGAUCGUUUCUUCUUCAUCUUUCAGCACUUUUUAUUAAGUUUUUUCUUUCUUUGUUUUCUCAAGAUGCUUACUUUUACAUACGGGCAUUUUUCUUUCUCAUUCAAGACACCUACUUUCACAAGCAGAUAUUUUUAUUUUUCAUUUAUUGCUCCAGUUUUCAAAGACAAGCAAUUGAUUUUUUCUUUCAAGUACAUACAUUUAAAUACCAACAUUUUAUUUUCCAGUCAGGCACCUAUUUUUGAGUAUUUUUACAUUUUUAUAGCUCGGCCAAUCGAGAGACUAUUACAUUUGUUCUUUCAAUCGAGAGACUAUUAGCGUUCAAUAACCUCACUAAUUGAGGGCCUCAGUCUUCGUAGACAAUUAAAGACGACAAUAAAUAUCAAUCUCCAUAAAUAAUUGGAGAUGUCAUGCAUCAAGUCCUCAUACAAAAUCGGAGAUGUCAUUCAUUCUCAAGUCUCCAUAAAUAAUUGGAGACAUCAUGUCUUUUUUUUAAUAACAAGAUUUUUUUAAAGUUUCUUUCAAAGAGGUCAGUGUUAGCUAUAAAUCAUACACUGGGGAAAAUUUUGAGAACCGCCUCAAAAUUUAUUCUAUUUUCUCAUUUCAAAUUGCAUUGACCUGAUUCUCAUGACACUCGAGAUAUGUAGGAAUCUCUAUGUUGAGUUCGAUCAUCACAACCCCAUAAUCAUUAUUUCUCCCUAGUAAGUACACAAUCUUGCAUUUCUCAACAUCUCAAAACUCGAUACUAGGGCAUUUUCGAAAGCAACAUUGGAAAUAUGUGAACACUUCCAUUCCCAAAUAAUUAUUUGCCCGAUAAUCAAUUUUUACAGGGGUUUGUCCAUCCUAAAUAGGACAAUUGAGUCAGCCUGCCCUCCAAAAAGACAGCUAUGCAUGUUUUUCUUUAAUUAGAUAUUUAUGCUUGCUUGUCUUUACUUGCACAUAUAGCAACAUAUUUAUUUUACUAUUAAAGAACUACAUCCUAUUUUUGUCUUUACUUGCAUAUGUUGAAAUAAAUUUAUUUUAUCAUUUAAGCACUCCACGCUAUCUUUGCCUUUACUUGUAUAUGUCGGAAUGCAUUUAUUUAAGCACCACAUAUCAUAUUUACCUUUACUCGCACAUCUCACAAAUGAAUUUAUUUAUAUCAUUUAACCACUGUAUUUCAUCGUUGCCUUUACUAGAACAUGUACAUUCCAUUUAUUUUAUCAUUUAAGCACUGCAUGCAAUCUUUGUCUUUACUUGCACAUCUCGCAAAUACAUUUACUCUUAUCAUUUAACCACUGCAUGUCAUCUUUGCCUUUACUGACACAUAUCGUAAUGUAUUUAUUAUUUAAGCACUGCAUGCUAUCUUUAUCUUUAUUUGCACACAUCGCAAUGCAUAUCAUUUAAGCACUGCAUGUCAUUUUUUUCUUUGCCCGCACAUAUUGCAACACAUUUAUUUUAUUAUUUAAGCACAAAAUACCAUCUUUGUCUUUAUUUGCACAUAUUGUAAUGCGUUUAUUUUGUAAUUUAAGCAUUGCAUGCACAUAUUACAAUGUAUUUAUUUUAUUAUUUAACCACUGCACGCCUCACAAAUAUCACAAUGUAUUUAUUUUAUCAUUUAAGCACCUCAUAUUAUGUUUGUCCUUACCUGUACACAUCGCAAUGCAUUUAUUUUAUCUUAUUAUUUAAGCAUCACAUGCUAUCUUUGUCUUAACUUGCACAUGCCGCAAUGCAUUUAUUUUACCAUUUAAGCACCGUAUGUCAUCUUUGUCUUUGCCUGCAUACAUAUCGCAAUGCAUUUAUUUUAUCAUUUAAACACGCAUGCUAUCUUUGCCUUUAUUUGUACAUAUCACAAUACAUUUUUUUUUAUCAUUUAAGGAUUGCAUGCACAUAUCGCAAUACAUUUAUUUUAUUAUUUAAUCACUGCACACUUUGUAAAUAUUGUAAUGUAUUUAUUUUAUCAUUUAAGUACUGCUACCAUCUUGGCCUUUACCUACAUAUAUUGCACUAAAUUUGUUUUAUCAUUUAAGCACUACACGCAAUUUUUGCCUUUACUUGCAUAUCACAAUGCAUUUAUUUUGUUAUUUAAGAACUGCAUGUCAUAUUUGUCGUUACCUGCAUAUAACAUGCAUUUAUUUUAUCAUUUAAGCACUGAAUGUUAUAUUUACCUUUAUUGUUUUUCUUAAUUAUUUAAGCAUUGAAUGUUGCCUUUUAAAUUUCUCAAAAAAAAAUCAAGUGUAAUUUUUCAUUUGUGUUUUAUUGAGCAUCACUUUUUAGUUUAUGAAUUUUUCAGGCAUAUAAUUUGAGGAUAAAUUGAGUCCGUCCACCCUAAAAUAAGAUAUUUUGGGUUAGUUUGUCCUUUAAUAAGAUAUUUUAUGUAUGUUUGCCUUCAAUUAAAUAGUUUGCUUGCCUUUAGUCAAGAUCAGCAAUGCCUUUAUUUAUUUAUUUAUUUAUCUUUAGAUUAUUUAAGCAUUAUAUUUCAUUUUUUGAAUUUCUUAAAAAAACUUAGUUACUCGUUUGCUUUAUUGAGUACUGUUUUUCAGUUUCAUAAAUUUUGCUGGCAUAGAAUUUGAAUACACAUUGGGUUCAUCCAUCCUAAAAUAAGACAUAUUGAGAUAACAACUCUAAAUUAAUGUUCACUUGAAUUUUUGUUAUCAAAAUUAUUUUAUGUUAAGCAAAAUUGGCUACACUUCAACGUUUUCGUCUAAAAAAUUCUAUAUUGUCUGCAAACAAAAAGGGGCAACCUUUUGACACUCAAUUUUGGUCUCCAAACUUAAAAUUAACGCAUUGAGGCUUCAUAAUCGUUAAAUGACACAAAAUACAAUUUUUCACUUAUUUUUUUUAUAAGUUUUAACAAAUUAUUGAUAAUCGUCAUUAUUUUAAGAUUUUUCAUCAAUUUUUGUCAUAUUUUAAAUUUUCAUAAUUUAUUGAUAAUUACCCUUAAUUUCAUAAAGUUUAGGAUUUUUAUCGGUUUAUUAUUAUUUUAAUAUUUUUACACAGUCAUCUGCAUACGUACAUAAUAUAAUACUGCAAUUCUUCUUUUUACUUAUUAUAAUUUUAAUAUUUAGAGCAAAAUACAUAUUUAUAAUAUUAAUUAUGUUAUAUAUUUUUUUUGUAGUUCUUUUUGUAAUUAUAUAUUGACAUUCAUAUUUUUGUAUAUUUAUAUAAUACGGUCUGCAAACAAUAAUAUCGGUUUAAUUAUUUUAAUACAUAGAGUAAAAAAUCAAUCAAGUCAAGGUCUCAUCACUUUUAAAAGAUGAAACUUGAAAUGAUGGGUUGGUGUUUUAAUUCGUUGGUUAAAUAAUCUUUACAAACUGGUUAAAAAAAUAAAAAAUCCAUCGGACAAUAUCCCGUGGGUUAAUUCAUGCUUUAAAGAGACAAUAGGGGUUAAUUUUUAUUGUUUGAAUAAGAAAGAGAGCCACUUUUAUUUAUAAAUAAAUGAGAUGGGGGUUUAACUCUUAAUUCACACAAUACACACACAUACACACGCAAAAUCCAUCUAAUUUUCCUCCUAUUCUCUCUCUAUCUCACGCUACUCUAUCUUUCUUCUUCUUCGGCGAGCAAAACCAGUCCAAUUCGGUGAAGCGACAACCACCGAAGUUCGACCUCCGAUCUCCAACCUCAUACCAUUGCCUCCCUUCCCCUUUUCUUUUCGUCAUUGCCUUGUCAAAAUUGAUAGCCAACAGGAUCCCAACAGUACCACCGUAACUACGCUGCUCCUUUUCCUCUCCCAUUCACACUAGUUAGUCCAAAAAAUGGUCAGAUCCAGCCAUUUUCAUGAUUCUCCAGUGUUGUUCCGGCAUUUGACAUAGAAGCAACACCUCCCCCUCCUACAUUUGUCACAAAUCUGGCCGGAGAGUUCAUUCUCCGGCAGGGUUUUCUAUUUUUGGUGAAAAUCCACCAUUUUUUCUACACUUCGGAUUAUGUUGGCUACAUUUUAUAUACAUAUUUUUUACGUUUUGUUGUUGCUACUCAUAGUUUCUUGCUUUUCAUAUCUUGAUUGCAAUUGAAAAUAGUUGAAAUUUUGUGUCCCAGUGGCUUUUUGAUGGACUAUUUCACUGUUUUAUUUCAUUGCUAUUGUUAUUCUUGGAUUGAUUUUAUAUUAUUUUGCGAAAUUCAUGUCGUCUUAGAUCCCAUAAUUAACUCAAGUGACAAUAACGUUCCUCCGUUGUUUGGUUAUUUUUGAUCUAUUUUGCGUUGCCUUGUGAUAUUUUAUUUAUUUGUUUAAAUGGAUGAAUGAUGAGGCGCUUGGCCAAAGAAAAAUUACCGUUAAUUUUUUAGGCCUCCACAAAUAAAAAAAAGAUUUUAUGUAUUCAAAUAUGUAAUAAUAAAUAAAUAUUUUAGGCAAUGACGAAAUUCUUAUAAUAUUUAAAAAUUUUAUCUCAGCCCUCUUUUAAUAAAAAUUAUAUUUUUUAUACAUAUAUGCACACAUACCUUCUCAAUUCAUUUGAUAAUUAUUUAUUCCUUACUAAAAGUUUUAUUGCAAGUGUUUAUACAGAUUAUCGAGAAUACUAAUCGAAAACAGCAUUCAAAGAAGUGUUUUAAAUUUUGUGUUUGUAUUUUUUAUUCUUACACUUGUAUAAAUAUCAGUCACAGUGAAAACUUUACUAGGGGCAUUGGGCGAGGAUAUUCUUUAUUUAUGCAAUAUUCACCACACUUUUAGGUAAAUUUAGACCGUUACUACUUAUAUAACAGAAUUAAAUUUAUUUAGAUAUUUAAUCAAAUAAUGCACACGUUUUACACUAAAAUAUUGUGUAGUAUUUUCUUAAGAAUUUUUUUUUCUUUAUUUAAUCUUUUCAUUUUAAUACACAUUCUCAUGAACUUUCGUUUAUCUUCAUACACUUUCUAUACACAUAUAUAAUAAAAUAUGUAAUUUACACAUUUUUAUAUCAUCUUAAUACACAUUUUAUAUUUGUAUUUACAAACAUUGAUUUUUUCUUUUCCUCGUUUAAGAAACCUAAGUCUGGCCGGAAACCACAUUAGUGGAUUCUGCAGGGUGCCUAACCCCUUUCCUUCGGAAUAAUUUGAACCCUUACGUAGAAUUUAAAUUGGUUCAUAGAUUAAACAUACAAGUCGUACAUGUUAAUAAAUAAAUAGGUUUCCUUAUUUUCCAUAAAAAUUAGGUGGUGACUCUAUAUAAAAUCAAUUCUUUGUGAGUCCAUGAUGUCAUGCUUGUUUUAAACUAGGUAAAAAUAGGGUAUUACAAGUGUUGUAUCAUAUUAUCAUUAUAUAAUUGUUAGAUUAGGCAUGACUUUCAUUAGUUGGUGUUUGAGGAUAUUAUCGGUAGUGGUAUUUUAGGCGGUUCCUGCCAUAAAUUUGAAUUAGGGUUAGCUGACAAUACUACUAAAUAUAUGUGAUUUGGUACUCACACUAUACUUUACAUGUUGGUACUGAACCAUUUAUUCUCAAAUAUUUUGUCAGAGUGCAUAUUUAGGUUACUUCUUGUUGAUUCAAGGGUAGUACUGACCAACUCCUCAAUUCCUAGCACAUCUCUUCAAUUUUAGUAAUAUUUUUUCCCCUUGUGUUAAUCCACUUAUUCUAGGAUGUUGAGUUAAAGUUCACAUAUGGGCUACUUCCUAGAGAUUCAUAGGUAGUGGCUAAUCGACUCCAGUGCCUACCUAAUCUGUUCAAUUUUAUGUUAUGUUAUUUUCACUUUUGCCUAGAUAUUUCUAACUUUUAUUUGUAUUUUCUUACCCUUAGAGGCUUGUACUGUGUGGUUUCCAUGUUUUGGGUCGUCGUUGAUUUCCAUCCUUCUUUACGAUUUAGUUUAUGUGAUUCAAUUUGAGACUUAUUAUUAUUUUUAUUUUUAUUUCUUUGGGAUUAUUAUUUGUGCAUUUAGUUGACUUACCUAUAAUUGAAGGUUUCAGAGUGGGUGGGUGAGAUAUAAGAGCCAUCAUGACUUAUAGAUUGUGACAAGUUGAUAUCAAAGCACUAGGUUUACUAGUAUCUUAGGUAAAAGUUGACUCCAAUAGAGUCUUACAAAUUAGUAUGGAAACUUCCAUUAUCUAUAUUUGAAAGGAUUCAAGACUUUAGAAAAAUCCCUUUAUUUAAUAUUGUUGUUUAAAAUGGAUUUCAUUAGUUACUGAUAUACUUGUUUCAUUCUAUCACAGAUGGUGAAGACUUGUUCUACUAUAGAGAGAGAUCAGGAGCCCAUUCUAGCAUUCAUGCUUUCUAUCCAUAUCGAGGCAUAUCGAUGUGGAAGGGGAACAUAGUAGGGGACAAUGUAUAGAUUAGGCUAGAGAUAAAGCUCAAAUAGUUUUUGGAGUCUCACUUGGACAUAGUUUUGCAAGGGUAGGUGUAAGGUAAAGGCCAAUCAAAUUCUAGUUUAAGAGGUGAGCGUAAUUUAGUCUGCAUAUAGGUUUAUAGCUACUUUGGUACUUUAUGAUACUUUAGUUUGUAUGUUGGAUCUAUUGGAGGAUAUGACACAUAGUGGUGUUUGAUUGAUAUUCCACAGGAUUCACAAUCUAGAGUUAGUGAUUAGACUCCAAAUUAAUAGCCUAUCUAAUUUCCAAGGAUCAAUUGCAAUAACUAGGUGUGAUGGUAUGCUUUUGUCAGGUUUAGGAUGCAUGAGUGUGUCUAGAUCAUUGAUGCCUUAUCUAGAUCAUAGGAAGUUUAAGAGGUUUAAUAUUUUAUAUCUUUCAUAGUUUUGGGGU